rnacentral:rRNA from 1 species
GAGACCCACGCCCACAGUUGCCAGCGUACCCUCCGGGGUGACGGGUACACUGUGGGGACCGCCGCUGCUAAAGCGGAGGAAGGAAUGGGCAACGGUAGGUCAGUAUGCCCCGAAUAUCCCGGGCUACACGCGGGCUACAAUGGUUGGUACAAUGGGUAUCUACCCCGAAAGGGGAUGGAAAUCUCCUAACGCCAAUCUUAGUCCGGAUUGAGGGCUGCAACUCGCCCUCAUGAAGCUGGAAUCCGUAGUAAUCGCACUUCAACAGAGUGCGGUGAAUAC